rnacentral:rRNA from 1 species
CCUACGGGUGGCAGCAGUGAGGAAUAUUGGUCAAUGGGCGGGAGCCUGAACCAGCCAAGCCGCGUGAGGGAAGAAGGUACAGCGUAUCGUAAACCUCUUUUGUCAGGGAACAAAGGCGGGGACUAGUCCCCGGAUGAGGGUACCUGAAGAAAAAGCAUCGGCUAACUCCGUGCCAGGAGCCGCGGUAAUACGGAGGAUGCGGGCGUUAUCCGGAUGUAUGGGGGUUAAAGGGUGCGCAGGCGGCCUGUUAAGUCAGAGGUAAAAGCCCGGGGCUAAACCCCGGAGAGCCGUUGAAACUGGGGGGCUGGAGUGGGAGAGAAGUAGGCGGAAUGCGCGGUGUAGCGGUGAAAUGCUUAGAUAUCGGGCAGAACCCCGAUUGCGAAGGCAGCGUACCGGCUCCACACUGACGCUGAGGCACGAAAGCGUGGGUAGCGAACAGGAUUAGAUACCCUGGUAGUC